UACAGAGGGGGCAAGCGUUGUUCGGAAUUACUGGGCGUAAAGGGCGCGUAGGUGGCCUUCUAAGUCGAACGUGAAAUCCCGUGGCUCAACCCAGGAACUGCGUCCGAUACUGGAAGGCUUGAAUCCGGGAGAGGGAUGCGGAAUUCCAGGUGUAGCGGUGAAAUGCGUAGAUAUCGAGAGGAACACCUGCGGCGAAGGCGGGUUGCUGGGCUGAGCACU
rnacentral:rRNA from 1 species